AACGAACGCUGGCGGUGCGUCUUAAGCAUGCAAGUCGAACGGUAACGGGCCUUCGGGUGCCGACGAGUGGCGAACGGGUGAGUAACACGUAGGUGAUCUGCCUUUGGGUUGGGGAUAGCCUGUGGAAACACAGGGUAAUACCGAAUGAUGUCGUAGUACUGUGGUGCAACGAUUAAAGGGGCUAUGGCCCCGCCUGAAGAUGAGCCUGCGGCUGAUUAGCUAGUUGGUGAGGUAAAGGCUCACCAAGGCGACGAUCAGUAACCGGCCUGAGAGGGUGGCCGGUCACACUGGGACUGAGAUACGGCCCAGACUCCUACGGGAGGCAGCAGCUAAGAAUCUUCCGCAAUGGACGAAAGUCUGACGGAGCGACACCGCGUGAGUGAUGAAGGCGGAAACGUUGUAAAGCUCUUUUAUGGAUGAGGAAUAAGUCUGGGAGGGAAUGCCCGGAUGAUGACGGUAGUCCAUGAAUAAGCCCCGGCUAAUUACGUGCCAGCAGCCGCCGCAG
rnacentral:rRNA from 1 species